UACGAAGGGUGCGAGCGUUGUCCGGAAUUAUUGGGCGUAAAGGGCUCGUAGGCGGUUUGUCGCGUCGGGAGUGAAAACCUUGGGCUUAACUCAGGGCUUGCUUUCGAUACGGGCAGACUAGAGGUAUGCAGGGGAGAACGGAAUUCCUGGUGUAGCGGUGAAAUGCGCAGAUAUCAGGAGGAACACCGGUGGCGAAGGCGGUUCUCUGGGCAUGAUCUGACGCUGAGGAGCGAAAGUGUGGGGAGCGAACAGG
rnacentral:rRNA from 1 species